GAGCAGGCGCUCGGCGGCCCGCGGGUCGGCGUUGUCGGCGCCGACGCCGACGGCGUUCGGGCCGAUCGCCUCGGCGGCCUGCUCG
rnacentral:tRNA from 5 species